GACGACGCUGGCGGCGUGGAUUAGGCAUGCAAGUCGAACGGUAUCAUCCUUCGGGGGUGAGAGAGUGGCGAACUGGUGAGUAACACGUAGGUUAUCUACCCUCAAGACGGGGACAACCCAGGGAAACUUGGGCUAAUACGGAUGUGAGCAACUUUUAGUUGUUUGAAAGGUGGCGUAAGCUGUCGCUUGGGGAUGAGCCUGCGUCCUAUUAGUUAGUUGGUGAGGUAACGGCUCACCUAGGCAAUGAUAGGUAGGCGGCCUUAACGGGUGGUCGCCCACACUGGGAUUGAGAUACGGCCCAGACUCCUACGGGAGGCAGCAGUCGAGAAUAGUCUACAAUGGUCGGAAGACUGAUAGUGCGACGCCGCGUGAACGAUGAAUCCCUUCGGGGUGUAAAGUUCUUUUAUAUGUGAGCAGUGCUUCUUAUAUUAACAGUAUGGGGAGAGAGAUAUUAGCAUAUGAAUAAGCAACGGCUAACUCCGUG
rnacentral:rRNA from 1 species